GGCGGCGUGCCUAACACAUGCAAGUCGAACGAGAAAGUGGAGCAAUCCAUGAGUAAAGUGGCGACCGGGUGAGUAACACGUGACUAACCUACCUUCGAGUGGGGGAUAACAUCGGGAAACCGAUGCUAAUACCGCAUAACAUCGCAAGAUCAAAGCAGCAAUGCGCUGGAAGAGGGGGUCGCGGCUGAUUAGCUAGUUGGCGGGGUAACGGCCCACCAAGGCGAAGAUCGGUAGCCGGCCUGAGAGGGCGCACGGCCACACUGGAACUGAAACACGGUCCAGACUCCUACGGGAGGCAGCAGUGGGGAAUUUUGCGCAAUGGGGGAAACCCUGACGCAGCAACGCCGCGUGGAGGAUGAAAUAUCUUGGUAUGUAAACUCCUUUCGAUGGGGAAGAUUAUGACGGUACCCAUANAANAAGCCCCGGCUAACUUCGUGCCAGCAGCCGCGGUAAUACGA
rnacentral:rRNA from 1 species